GACGAACGCUGGCGGCGUGCUUAACACAUGCAAGUCGAACGGAAAGGCCCUGCUUUUGUGGGGUGCUCGAGUGGCGAACGGGUGAGUAACACGUGAGUAACCUGCUCUUGACUUUGGGAUAACUUCAGGAAACUGGGGCUAAUACCGGAUAGGAGCUCCUGCUGCAUGGUGGGGGUUGGAAAGUUUCGGCGGUUGGGGAUGGACUCGCGGCUUAUCAGCUUGUUGGUGGGGUAGUGGCUUACCAAGGCUUUGACGGGUAGCCGGCCUGAGAGGGUGACCGGCCACAUUGGGACUGAGAUACGGCCCAGACUCCUACGGGAGGCAGCAGUGGGGAAUAUUGCACAAUGGGCGGAAGCCUGAUGCAGCAACGCCGCGUGCGGGAUGACGGCCUUCGGGUUGUAAACCGCUUUCGCCUGCGACGAAGCGUGAGUGACGGUAAUGGGUAAAGAAGCACCGGCUAACUACGUG
rnacentral:rRNA from 1 species